UACGGGGGGGGCAAGCGUUGUUCGGAAUUACUGGGCUUAAAGGGCUCGUAGGCGGCCAACUAAGUCAGACGUGAAAUCCCUCGGCUUAACCGGGGAACUGCAUCUGAUACUGGAUGGCUUGAGUUCGGGAGAGGGAUGCGGAAUUCCAGGUGUAGCGGUGAAAUGCGUAGAUAUCUGGAGGAACACCGGUGGCGAAGGCGGCAUCCUGGACCGACACUGACGCUGAGGAGCGAAAGCCAGGGGAGCAAACGGG
rnacentral:rRNA from 1 species